UUUGACCUAUAUAAUACUAACAAUCAUUAUUAUGACAAGUUAAAGUUAAAUAGGUCAUGCAUAGAUAAUGUGACAUCAUAUAGAGGGAUGAUUGCCUUUUAGUUGAUUAGUAUUUAUCAAUUUAACUUGUAGUGCUGUUGAAUUUUUAUGACAUAGCUGGAUCCGAGAACAUCUUAUGAUAAAGUGGAUCAGGAAACUGUUGGGAAAAAAGUUGAAGUUGUUAAAAAGAAUCUGAAAACACUUUAUGAAGAGUAUGGAGCCAAGUUUUGGCAUGCUUCUUCGACCUCUUCAGC
rnacentral:lncRNA from 1 species